rnacentral:rRNA from 1 species
UACGUAGGGGGGCAAGCGUUGUCCGGAUUUAUUGGGCGUAAAGAGCGUGUAGGCGGCCCGGUAAGUCCGCUGUGAAAGUCGGGGGGCUCAACCCUCGAAUGCCGGUGGAUACUGUCGGGCUAGAGUGCGGAAGAGGCGAGUGGAAUUCCUGGUGUAGCGGUGAAAUGCGCAGAUAUCAGGAGGAACACCAAUUGCGAAGGCAGCUCGCUGGGACGUUACUG